ACCUACGGGAGGCAGCAGUGGGGGAUAUUGGACAAUGGGGGGAACCCUGAUCCAGCGACGCCGCGUGAGUGAAGAAGUAUUUCGGUAUGUAAAGCUCUGUCAGCAGGGAAGAAAGAAAUGACGGUACCUGACCAAGAAGCCCCGGCUAACUACGUGCCAGCAGCCGCGGUAAUACGUAGGGGGCAAGCGUUAUCCGGAAUUACUGGGUGUAAAGGGAGCGUAGACGGUUAAGUAAGUCUGGAGUGAAAGCCCGGGGCUCAACCCCGGGACUGCUUUGGAAACUGCCUGACUGGAGUGCUGGAGAG
rnacentral:rRNA from 1 species